rnacentral:rRNA from 1 species
UUUAUGGAGAGUUUGAUCCUGGCUCAGGAUGAACGCUGGCGGCGUGCCUAAUACAUGCAAGUCGAGCGAACGGACGAGAAGCUUGCUUCUCUGAUAUUAGCGGCGGACGGGUGAGUAACACGUGGAUAACCUACCUAUAAGACUGGGAUAACUUCGGGAAACCGGAGCUAAUACCGGAUAAUAUUUUGAACCGCAUGGUUCAAAAGU